UACGGGGGGGGUAAGCGUUGUUCGGAAUUACUGGGCGUAAAGGGCGCGUAGGCGGCCUGUUAAGUCGGACGUGAAAUCCCUCGGCUCAACCGGGGAACUGCGUCCGAUACUGGCGGGCUUGAAUUCGGGAGAGGGAUGUGGAAUUCCAGGUGUAGCGGUGAAAUGCGUAGAUAUCUGGAGGAACACCGGUGGCGAAGGCGGCAUCCUGGACCGACAUUGACGCUGAGGCGCGAAAGCCAGGGGAGCAAACGGG
rnacentral:rRNA from 1 species